UGCCCUGCGGAGGACGCGGGAGCUGCGCUGCGGCAGCGGGAACGGUGCUGCCAGGGCGGAAACGGCGCUGAGGCAGCGCUGGGAGGGGCUGUUAGCAGCGUGAAAGUGUUAGGGGAGAUCCCUCAGGAAGAUGGCCAGGCGGCUGCGCCUCUCCAGAAACCGGAUAAUCAGCAUUACCAAUGGGCCCAUCGCAUUACUGGCAAGCGUUUCAGUCGCCUCGUUUCUAAAAUGGUUUUUCCGUUUUGCUGUUCUGAGUCUGCGGUGCCGUGCGUCUCCCUCCAGGGCACAGUGAUUUGCGGCACUGGAAUCCCUCAGUCUGAGUCUCAGAAUCUCUGCUCUUCCAAGUGAGUGGCCCCGGGCAAGGCCCUACUCUCCCUACACCUCACUUUCAUCGUUUGCAGAAACGAGAAUCAGAGCAGACACGGACCGUCUCCCUCCUCAUCACAUCCACAUACGACCUGGAGAAGGGUGCGCUGGGCCAGGGCCGGGGGUGAGCUUGGGUGUUGGUGACUCAAGUUGCAAACCGCCCUCUGCCCAAAAUGAUACAAAACCACAGUGACAUCAGUGCUGAUGUCAGAGAUAGUUUACAGGAACCCUUUACCCUGAAAAGGACUACUCUUAGAUUGCUGAAGUCACCAGAGAAGCCAUUUCCUGUUGUUUUAAAGUAAAUAAAAUGCUCCUGCCUGGAUUCCUUGGCUCUGCACGCCCCUCUCCUUUCUUCUAAACCUGGUUGUUGACACUGCCUCCGUCGCGACCGGUCUCCGCUGUCAUCCUUCUCAACAGGAGUGUGUGAUAUUUCUCCACCUGCUCCGCACCGUCAGAGGCACAAGGGAUCCAAAAGCUCAUUUCGGAAAAUCCCUCAAGAAUCCCAAAGGUUGAAGUCUCCAUAGUGGAAAUUUACAAUAAUGACAUUUUUGACCUUCUGGCCAAAGACAGCAUUGCAGCCGUGUCAGGGGUCAAGCGUGAGGUGAUGACAGCCAAGGAUGGAUGGACAGAGGUUGUGCUGCUGGCCUCUGAGUGAGCACCGCACCUGCCCUGUGCUGCUGGCCUCUGAGUGAGAAUGGCACCUGCCCCUCCCACCUGGUCAGGAGGCUGCACAUCUCUAAACGAGCUCCCCAUGCCCAAGGAUCCCAAGGAGAAUCGGCCGUGGUGGCCCAAUCAGUGCUCCUUGUCACUGAAUGGUUUCUUGUGUGUUUUCAUGCUUCGUAUGUGUUGCACAACUCUCAAUUUGCGUAAGAAUUGUCUUUCUUUAAAGGUGGUUAUAUCAGGAUGAUAUAUUUGUUAAUUAGCUGGAAUGGGUGAUCAUUUCACAGUGUAUUCUCAUAUCAAAAUAUCAAGACGUAUACCUUAAACAUACACAAUUUUCAUAUGUCAUUAAUAUCUUAAAGCUGUUAGAGAUAAAAGUAAAAAAAAACACAAAAUAUUUUUUAAAAUCAAAAUUAAACAAAUAAAUGUAGCUUUAAAAAAAUGUACAUAAGAGCCCCUCGGACGGGCAUCAUCCCAUCUCACAGAUGAGGAAACAGGCUUGCAGAGGUGAAAGAACUUGCCCACCCCACUCAGGCUAGGAGAGAUGAACUCAUCCACAUUUGUAAAUAUCAGUAUUCCAUAGAAUACGAUAAUGAACCCUCUUGUAAAAGUGAGGAUCCCCCAUAUUAAGUAUUUUCCUCAAAGUUCCCUAUCUUCAAAUCCACAUGCAUGUGCUAGGUUUGCCCCAGUGGGGUUGCAGCUGGGAGGUGACAAAGGGAACCCUCUCCAUGAGUGAGAGCCCGGUCAGGCUGCCCAUCCUGCGCCCUGGAGGCAGCAAGGGAAGAGCCCGCCAGCCAUGCUGAAUAUUUCACAGACCUGAAGGAAAUCAUCCAUGCAACCCUGAUACGGUCACACAAAGUCACCCAAAAUUUGAGCCUUUGACUGACAGACCGUGAUGGAAAUGUUAUCUCCUGCUGAUUCAGAGCUCUGAUUAGCAGUCAUAUCUCAUCCACUAACGUGGGGAAAUGGGUUAAACCUUUAUUUCAUAAAUCAGAUUCGAUACAUAAAAUAUUUUUAAAACAUCGUUCCUGGAGGCUCUAAUAAAUAAAGGAAUAGUUGAUGUUAAAAA